rnacentral:rRNA from 1 species
UACGAAGGGUGCAAGCGUUACUCGGAAUCACUGGGCGUAAAUGGUGCGUAGGCGGGUCUUUAAGUCAGGGGUGAAAUCCUGGAGCUCAACUCCAGAACUGCCUUUGAUACUGAAGAUCUUGAGUUCGGGAGAGGUGAGUGGAACUGCGAGUGUAGAGGUGAAAUUCGUAGAUAUUCGCAAGAACACCAGUGGCGAAGGCGGCUCACUGGCCCGAUACUGACGCUGAGGCACGAAAGCGUGGGGAGCAAACAGG